AGCGCCGUGGCAUAGUGGUUAGCGCGCCUGCCUGUAACACAGAAGUAAUGGGUUCAAGGCUCGUCGCUGCUG
rnacentral:tRNA from 1 species